rnacentral:lncRNA from 1 species
ACCAUAUUCUGUAGCCCACUUGUUGAAAAUGAUGUGGCGGAUGACGCCGGUGCGGGGGGCGGGGGCGCGUAGGCUCUGGUGGCCCUGGGAUGGGCAACCGCGGUGGCUUCCGCGGAGGUUUCGGUAGUGGCAUCUGGGACCGUGGUCGUGGCCGUGGACAGGGCCGGGCCGAGGCUGAGGAGCUCGCAGAGGCAAGGCGAGGAUAGGGAGUGGAUGCCCGUCACCAAUCUGGGCCGCUUGGUCAAGGACAUGAAGAUCAAGUCCCUGGAGGAGAUCUCUUUCUUCUCCCUGCCCCAUUAAGGAAUCUGAAAUCAUUGACUUUUUCCUGGGGGCCUCUCUCGAGGACGAGGUUUUGAAGAUAAUGCCGGUGCAGAAGCAGACCCAUGCUGGCCAGCGCACAGGUUCAAGGCGUUUGUUGCUAUUGGGGACUACAAUGGCCACGUAGGCCUGGGUGUUAAGUGCUCCAAGGAGGUGGCCACCGCCAUCCGUGGGGCUAUCAUCCUGCCCAAGCUCUCCAUUGUCCCCGUGCACAGAGGCUACUGGGGGAACAAGACUGGCAAGCCCCACACCGUCCCUUGCAAGGUGACAGGCCUCUGUGGCUCUGUGCUGGCGCGCCUCAUCCCUUAACCCAGGGGCACUGGCAUCGUCUCCGCAUCUGUGCCCAAGAAGCUGCUCAUGAUGGCUGGUACUGAUGACUGCUACACCUCAGCCCGGGGCUGCACUGCCACCCUGGGCAACUUCGCCAAGGCCACCUUGAUGCCAUCUCUAAGACCUACAGCUACCUGACCCCCGACCUCUGGAAGGAGACUAUAUUUACCAAGUCUCCCUAUCAGGAAUUCACUGACCACCUCGUCAAGACCCACACCAGAGUCUCCGUGCAGCGGACUCAGGCUCCAGCUGUGGCUACAACACAGGGUUUUUAUACAAGAAAAAUAAAGUGAGUUAAGCCUGAAAAAAAAAAAAAAAAGAAAAUGAUGGGACUUAGAGAUAGAUAUCACAUCAAUCAUUGAACUGUCCUAAUGAUUCACCUAGGUAUGAGCAGAUUUUGGCUGCAAGUUGUAAUGGAAAGCGCAC